rnacentral:SRP_RNA from 1 species
GCCGGGUGUGGUGGCUCACACCUGUAAUCCCAGAACUUUGGGAGGCCAAGGUGGGCGGAUCACUUGAGGUCAGGAGUUUUGAGACCAGCCUGGCCAACAUAGUGAGACCCCGUCUCUA